AGAGUUUGAUCCUGGCUCAGAAUCAACGCUGGCGGCGUGCCUAACACAUGCAAGUCGAACGCGAAAGUCCCGCAAGGGAUUAGUAGAGUGGCAAACGGGUGAGUAACGCGUGGGUGACCUGCCUUCGAGUGGGGGAUAACGUUCCGAAAGGGACGCUAAUACCGCAUGACAUCCGGUUUUUGAAGAAGCCGAGAUCAAAG
rnacentral:rRNA from 1 species